GCGGCAGUAGCUCAGUGGUGGAGCCUCCGCUUCGCAUUCGGGGAGACCUGGAUUCGAUUCCCGGCUGCUUCC
rnacentral:tRNA from 1 species